CCUACGGGUGGCUGCAGUGAGGAAUAUUGGUCAAUGGACGCGAGCCUGAACCAGCCAAGUAGCGUGAAGGAUGACUGCCCUACGGGUUGUAAACUUCUUUUAUAAAGGAAUAAAGUGAGGCACGUGUGCCUUUUUGUAUGUACUUUAUGAAUAAGGAUCGGCUAACUCCGUGCCAGCAGCCGCGGUAAUACGGAGGAUCCGAGCGUUAUCCGGAUUUAUUGGGUUUAAAGGGAGCGUAGAUGGGUUGUUAAGUCAGUUGUGAAAGUUUGCGGCUCAACCGUAAAAUUGCAAUUGAUACUGGCAGUCUUGAGUACAGUUGAGGUAGGCGCAAUUCGUGUUGUAGCGGUGAACUGCUUAGAUAUCACGAAGAGCCCCGAUUUCGAAGGAAGCUUACUAAACUGUGACUGACAUUGAUGCUCGAAAGUGUUGGUAUCAAACAGGAUUAGAUACCCCUGUAGUC
rnacentral:rRNA from 1 species